rnacentral:rRNA from 1 species
CGUAACAAGGUCUCCGUUGGUGAACCAGCGGAGGGAUCAUUACCGAGUUUACAACUCCCAAACCCCUGUGAACAUACCACUUGUUGCCUCGGCGGAUCAGCCCGCUCCCGGUAAAACGGGACGGCCCGCCAGAGGACCCCUAAACUCUGUUUCUAUAUGUAACUUCUGAGUAAAACCAUAAAUAAAUCAAAACUUUCAACAACGGAUCUCUUGGUUCUGGCAUCGAUGAAGAACGCAGCAAAAUGCGAUAAGUAAUGUGAAUUGCAGAAUUCAGUGAAUCAUCGAAUCUUUGAACGCACAUUGCGCCCGCCAGUAUUCUGGCGGGCAUGCCUGUUCGAGCGUCAUUUCAACCCUCAAGCACAGCUUGGUGUUGGGACUCGCGUUAAUUCGCGUUCCCCAAAUUGAUUGGCGGUCACGUCGAGCUUCCAUAGCGUAGUAGUAAAACCCUCGUUACUGGUAAUCGUCGCGGCCACGCCGUUAAACCCCAACUUCUGAAUGUUGACCUCGGAUCAGGUAGGAAUACCCGCUGAACUUAUGCAUAUCAAU